GAAUCCUGCGCUGCCGCCGAGAGGUCGCCCUUCAACGAUGUUUACAACGACGAUUGCUUUUUCCUUUCUUUUCACUGUUUUUUCCCUUCAGGGGUUUUCUCAGGAUUAACUUCGCAGUUGAUUUGGAGGACGCUGAACUGAACGAGUGAGUCGUUGCUCAUGUUUUCUGGCUGGCGCUGUACGGAUUGAUUAUUCCUGUUAAGGCCGCGCAUAAAGUGGUAGAAGACUGGCAAUACAUCUUCUAGGAUCGAAUCUGAAUAUGGCUCUCUCCAUAUGAUUCGAGCCUGAGUCCAUAAGCAGGAUACAUCCAACGGCUGGCUUAGGACACGUUUAAAAUGGAACAAUUCCAGUGAUGCACGUUGAAUCCACUCUACUCCCAUACCAUUCAAUGGAAUAUCCCUCACGAUGCACGCAAGAUUAGUUAAUCAAGCUGAUAAUAGUUAGUCAUGUCCCUCCUGACAAGGUUUUAACAUCGAAGACACCGUCUUAAACUAUCCACUUGGUCCUGCAAGAAUGCGCAGAGCUUUAUACCCAUCUACGACUUGAUUGUCAAGUUGCUCGAACCGGUUAAAUACCUUUGCCAAUACAUAUUGCUUCCCUGACUAUCCCAUCAUGGGCAAAGGUUUGCCCAUGAAAUGCCCUCAGCUGAUUUAUCUCAGGUUGGGGGGUAUGCCCGCAAGGAAAACCUCGUAAUAGACUGGGCAGGAAGCGCUGGAUUUCAGCCACCAGGAGUGCUUAAUCAACAAGCCAGCAGAGCAGAGGCGGGCGCUCAAGGCAACAAUUGACGAGGAAACCAUGCCACUUCUGGGCUCGUAGACCAUACAUCACAAUGGACUUUGAUCGUGCCUUGCAUGGACUUUUCACCGCUUCCAGGCUCAGUGUCUUUUUGAGGAUUCCACGUGAUGGCCACUUUAGUUGAAGGGCAUCCGUCAGUGGCUCUUCGUUGAGAACAUUGAUAGGCGAGAGAGCAUUUUUAGGGGAGAGGUGGUUUUAUUUG
rnacentral:sRNA from 1 species